rnacentral:rRNA from 1 species
UAAGGUGAAACCGCGAAAGGCUCAUUAAAUCAGUUAUGGUUCCUUAGAUCGUACCCACAUUUACUUGGAUAACUGUGGUAAUUCUAGAGCUAAUACAUGCAAACAGAGCUCCGACCGGAGACGGAAGGAGUGCUUUUAUUAGAUCAAAACCAAUCGGCGGCAGUAGCGUUUCGGCGUUAUUGUUCGUCGUACUGUUUGGUGACUCUGAAUAACUUUUGGCUGAUCGCACGGUCUUGCACCGGCGACGCAUCUUUCAAAUGUCUGCCUUAUCAACUGUCGAUGGUAGGUUCUGCGCCUACCAUGGUUGUAACGGGUAACGGGGAAUCAGGGUUCGAUUCCGGAGAGGGAGCCUGAGAAACGGCUACCACAUCCAAGGAAGGCAGCAGGCGCGCAAAUUACCCACUCCCGGCACGGGGAGGUAGUGACGAACAAUAACGAUACGGGACUCAUCCGAGGCCCCGUAAUCGGAAUGAGUACACUUUAAAUCCUUUAACGAGGACCAAUU